AACGAACGCUGGCGGCAUGCUUAACACAUGCAAGUCGAACGCUUUAUGGCUUCGGCCAUGGAGAGUGGCGCACGGGUGAGUAGCGCGUGGGAACCUGCCCUGGAGUGGGGGAUAACCGAUGGAAACGUCGGCUAAUACCGCAUGAUCCCGGUGGUCGAGAGAUUGCCGGGCAAAGAUUUAUCGCUUUGGGAGGGGCCCGCGUCGGAUUAGGUAGUUGGUGGGGUAACGGCCUACCAAGCCAGUGAUCCGUAGCUGGUCUGAGAGGAUGAU
rnacentral:rRNA from 1 species